rnacentral:rRNA from 1 species
AGCGCAGGCGGUGCGGCAAGUCUGAUGUGAAAGCCCGGGGCUCAACCCCGGUACUGCAUUGGAAACUGUCGUACUAGAGUGUCGGAGGGGUAAGCGGAAUUCCUAGUGUAGCGGUGAAAUGCGUAGAUAUUAGGAGGAACACCAGUGGCGAAGGCGGCUUACUGGACGAUAACUGACGCUGAGGCUCGAAAGCGUGGGGAGCAAACA